rnacentral:rRNA from 1 species
GACGAACGCUGGCGGCGUGCUUAACACAUGCAAGUCGAACGAUGAAGCUGGAGCUUGCUCCGGUGGAUUAGUGGCGAACGGGUGAGUAACACGUGAGCAAUCUGCCCUUCAUUCUGGGAUAACUGCGGGAAACUGUAGCUAAUACCGGAUACGAGACCUUGGGGCAUCCCAGGGUCUGGAAAGAAUUUCGGUGAAGGAUGAGCUCGCGGCCUAUCAGCUAGUUGGUGAGGUAAUGGCUCACCAAGGCGACGACGGGUAGCCGGCCUGAGAGGGUGAGCGGCCACACUGGGACUGAGACACGGCCCAGACUCCUACGGGAGGCAGCAGUGGGGAAUAUUGCACAAUGGGCGAAAGCCUGAUGCAGCAACGCCGCGUGAGGGAUGAAGGCCUUCGGGUUGUAAACCUCUUUUAGUAGGGAAGAAGCGCAAGUGACGGUACCUACAGAAAAAGCACCGGCUAACUACGUGCCAGCCGCCGCAGUAA